AAAAUAAUGUUGCAGGAAUGCUUAUCUUCUUCUAACUACAACAACGAUUUAAGAAAAAUCUAACAUGGUGGGUGCUGAAUGGCUUGCUGAAAUGACAUGGAACGACCAAUGAGAGUGAGAGUUUCCAGGAGCAUAUGCAGUAAGUGUGGAGUAUGUCAGCUACAGUUACGGUUGAUUUUACUGUUAAAUAAUAUGCACACACAGAAUGUUACUCAGGUCUGGAGAGAUAGAGGAGACUGUAGUGUGUGUGUGUGAGUGUGUGUGUGUUCAACAUGGGAAUGUCUAGCAGCUCUAUCCUGUGUCCCAAAUGGCAGCCUAUUGCCUACACAGUGCCAUUUUUUUUUUACUAGGGCCCAUUUGGGGAAUAGGGUGUAGGGAAUAGGGUGCCAUUUCAGAUGCAUCCCUAGACAGCCCAGCUCCCGUUUCAAUACACAAUGCACAACGCCUGACUGAAUGGAAGGAAAGAGUUCUCUGAAACUGAAUGCCUCUUUGCUUUGUGUUCAACAUUUCCACAAAAUAUGGGAUUGUUUCCACAGUGUUACAAAGACUCUCUCUCUAAGAUAAUGAUUUACUGGUAUCCAUACUACAUUCCCAAUUCUUUGUUCACAGAUAAACAAGUGCAUCAGAUGCCAACAAGAAUGAACGUAGCAUGUGAUAUAGUUAGUUCACUGACCCACUGUGUGUUUUUCUACAAAAACUGGGCCAGCCAACAGCCCUGUGGUCAAGCAGCAGCAAUACCACCAGCAGCAGCACAUGGUCAAUGUUUACGCCAGGGAUCCAAAUGGUUCCACAUUCCCUCUAUAUGGUGCACUACUUUUGACCAGGGACCAUAAUGCUCUGGUCAAAAGUAGUGCACUAUAGGGAAUAGGGUGCCAUUUGGUACGUACUGAAGACAUCUGGCAGCGGGACAGAUGCCAUGGCCAUGCUGCUAUAUAGAGACAUGUGGAGCUGAUUCAGCUGACUGCCAUCCAUUUUCAUUGUUACCAGUGUGAUAGUUGUAACAUUAAUUGUUUAUAUAGUUGUGGAGCCGACGAGUGAGGGAGUGAUGAUAGUACAGCUUGUCCCUCUCUAUUCCCCCCCAAUGCCUCCCUCCCUCCUAGACCGACCUAUCAGGUCUUUGUGUUCCUCUUCUGAGCCGAGCCCCCAGAACACACACACACAGCUCUCUUAAAACACAUUGAAACAAAACGCAUCUCUUGCAGUCCCAGAAGUCUACAAUGAAAUUAAGCCUUGCUCUGCUGAAUAAUCAGAUUUCUGUCAUUCUACAUUCUUAAAAGGGCAAUUCCACCACUUUUCAACCUAUCUCCAAUACCAGUGUCUACAUAUGUUAAAAUGGCACAUUUCUACAUUUUGUAGAAAAAAAUAAAGUAAACAAGUUCUACUCGAUGACAUCAUCAAAAUUGAAAACAAUUGAAAAACAUUGAUUUUCAAACACUAUAAGAUUCACAGUGAUAUGGGGAGCAAGAAAACACCCUUCCACUGAGCACACUGGGUCAUUCCAAUGUGGAUAAUUGGGUAAUAUUUGGUUGAGACAUUGAUCAAUGAGAUUGCAAUUUAUAUUCACCUACUCAAAAAGAAAGCCAUAAGUUGAGUUUCCAAUGUGUUAUGACUAUGCUUGGAACCAUCUAAAAGCACAACCAAACAACGUCAGAUUUUUGGUCUAGUUAUCACCAAAAUGUCUAUCACUGCACUUUUAACCAUUUAAAAGCACAGCAAAGUUCAAAUGAGAAUACAAUGUCAAAUAGUUUGUUUAUUUAUACAACAGAUUGUGUUGUCCCUGUGCUUCAUCUAAUAGCAGAACCAAAUGACCUGGAUUACAGUUGAGAUUACAUUCAACGCUGUUUGAGAUUCUGUACAGAUUAUUACAGCAAUUGUGAAGAUCUCCACAGACCUGUGAAUACCUAUGCAUGCUAUCUUCAACAUGCAUGCUUUAUUUGAUUGAAUAAGAAGAAGUGUAUAUUUACAGUAACCUCAAAAUGUGGCCAUGGAUGUGCUACUCACUUUAAGGUUAAACGUUAGGUUAGAUUGUAAAAUAGCCUUUUAUGCUAUUUACUGCAGUGGUUCCAAACUGUAGGGCACAGUUCUUUUUUUAAUGAACUCAGUCCAGCUUUCAACUUACUCUAGAAUGUUGUAAUAGUAGAAUGCACAAGGUGCAAUUUUGAAAUUGUAGUGCAUCAUCAGUUAUCCUCCCUCUUGUCAUGUCAGUCAUUGGGCUCCCAAGUGGCUCAGCGGUCUAAGGCACUGCAUCUCAGUGGUAGAGGUGUCACUACAGACACUGGUUAGAUUCCAGGCUGUAUCACAACCGGCCAUGAUUGGGAGUCCCAUAUGGCGGCCCACAAUUGGCCCAGUGUCGUCCGGGUUUGGCUGGGGUAGGCCUUCAUUGUAAAUAAGAAUUUGUUCUUAACUGACUUGCCUAGUUAAAUAAAGGUUAAAUAAAUACCUGAGAGAGCUAUUUAUAACUUCUCAGAAAUGUCCAGCUCAACGAGCCCAUGUCAGCUAGGUUUCUCAGCCAACAGAUUUUGUUGUAAUGUUUGAGUCACUCAUAUCACAUGAAUAAACAUUAGACAUAGCAAAAUGUAUAGCAAGAAAAUAAGCUUUAAAACGGCAACAUUUUCUCUCCAAGGAGUGUGAACAGUUUGAGUCAUGAACAGUGCUUGUUCCCAUAGACAUAGAUGUCUACAUGGAUUCAUGUCUCCAUCUCAUCCAAAAAUGUAAGUGAAAGAAUAAGACUAAAUCAAACUUUAAAUUCACUUUAAUGUGAUGUAGUCCCAUUCUUUAACUUUGGUUUUUGGUUGAGAUGGAGACAUGAAUGUCACGUCUAAUCAAGGUGGGUGGAAUCAGGCGCAGAGAGCAAAUAGCGAUAAUAAGUUUAUUCUCCGGUGAACAAAAUAAACACGGUCAACCCAAAUACAAACAGGGUGAAAUGAUCCAAAACAGGAUAACAGACUAACCGGAGAAUAAUAAACACAAAAACGCUGACAGACGAAACGAACGACAAAAUAAACAAUCCCGCACAAAACAAGGGCGGGACAACCUACAUUAUAUACAGACACUAAUGAACUAAUCAACACACAGGUGAAAACAAUCAGACAAAACCAACAGAUACACGAAAAGGGAUCGGUAGUGGCUAGUAGGACGGUGACGACGACCGCCGAGCACCGCCUGAACGGGCAGGAGAGCCAACCUCGGCGGAAGUCGUGACAAUGAAUCCAUCAUAUCAAUUAUUAAUUUGAAAACAAACUGGAAUUGAAGAUGGAUAGUCACAUCUGUGCCACUGACUUAGUCUAAGCAGGGGAUACAUCUUCUUCAAAUGUUGAUUUUGGUUGCGUUGACAACCAAACACAAUUCAAUAUCACUAAAUAUAAUUUGUUUUGAAAUAAUAAACCCUAGGUCUAUUGCAUUGUCUAAUUUUAGUUGAAUUGAAACAAUAGCUGUUGAUGACUUUGCUAAUGCUACAUAGUCCUAAAUAGUAUCAUUAAUGACAUAUAAUUGAUACAUUAUGGUCACAUUUAAUUUCCUCUGUUAAACCUACCCUUUAGAAUGGGUUCGAUAGCAACAGUGAAUCUAUUUCGUUUUUAGUUGGAGAGCUUUCAACAAUCCUUCUCACGAUAGCACAUUGGUAAUAGUCAGUGACAAAUAUCAGAAGUAAUCAGUGCUGGGCAUGGUUAAAACCCUGGAUGGGAGAUCAAAUGGUAGCUGUAGAUAGAUACAUUCUCCAGUAAGGAGGUGCUGCCCAGCCUAUAGUUUUUUUUAUCUGUUUAUCUGCAAUACACCUUGUUCUGCUUGGCAACAAACUUUUUUUUAAUUAUGUGAGUAGAUCUGCCCUCUGCUGGGCAAUAUUGAGACACCACUAGUGACAUGAACUUGAUGAGGCUUGCCUUGCUGUCACCCGCUUUAAAAGGUACAAUAUGCAGAAAUCACUUCACCAUUUCCUGGUCGCGAAAAUUCUAAUAAUUUUCCUAAUUUCAGUUUGUGAAUCAUUGUACCAUCUAAACAGUUGUGAAAUAUAUUUUCAAUAACCAAAAAUGUUCUAUGUUCAGCUGUUUGAAGCUGGUGUACAAAACCAAAAGUAAAAGAUGCCAAAAUGAAACAUAAGAACGGGAAGCGUAGAAAUGGCAUACAUAGAACAUAUCUACUGCUUGUUAGAAUUGCUUUCAAUUAUGACAAAUUUAUAACUCACAUUUCUAUGUGAAUUUCGUUGGCAGCACAAAAACUUACAUAUGCAUCUUUAAUAGACCUCACCUUGUCUUGUCUUCUUUUUCCCCAACUCAAUUAAGCCAAAUCCACGCCUAUUAUCAGAGAGGCGUUCUACAACGCUUUGAGCGCUCUCCAAGUCCCGAAGUGAAUAUCACGAAGCACGAAAUUUCAGUCACUAAUUAAUAACAUUUGCCCUUGUAUUUCAAGAUUGAAAAAUAUAAUAAAAUAAUGUAGUGGACAGAGCUAGCCAUUAAAAUCAGAUUCAAUUGAUGUAGCAUAGCGUAUUCGACUGAAUUGAUUAGCUAAAAUAUUUGAGAAAUUAUGAAUAAUAAGCAUAUGCUUUUACCUGAUAAUAGACUACAAAUUAUAAUGUAACAACUUCAAAUAUCGAGCUAGUAACGUUAAGUAGCCUAGGUAAACUUAGCUGACCUUCAAUUGAGGGAAUUCAGCAGAGUUCUGAGACACGUUUUACAAGUCAUUGAAACUCUGAAAAUGAAUACAUGGGCAAAUGUUACCAAACAUUAUAAUAAUAGGACUGCAUUAUGGUAGGCAGCUAAUUGUUAAAUGACAUUUUCCAUCCUUACCUUGGAAGGCCACUGUCUCUGCACUGAUCGCCUGUGAGUGAGACAACGCUAGCUAGCCAAUGGGAGCGUAGCAGAACCCUCUCGUAAUAACGGGGCGUAAGUUUUGGCUAAAUUGCGUUGGGAAAAAGAAAGACGCGAGCUCACCUGCUCGAAGACCUAAAACCCGGAAAUUAGUUACCGUUCAUAUGGCGAAAAUGAAUGAGGAAAGAAUAGGCUUUUGGGAUAAACGCGAAAAUAAGGUCUGAGGUUAAUACAGGCUUAGGAUAUCUUAUACGUUCUGUUCUACGAGAUAAUAUUAGUCAGUUAACAUUACCAUUAUUAAUUAUGAAUCAUUUAUGUGCUUUUUCAAAUGACACAAAUGCUUCCAAAUUCACAAAAAAUAACGUUAGCUGAUGAUUAUCUCGUACAAAAAGACGCCAUUAGGAUAGAAAACAAAAACUGUAUCAAUAAAUUAGCUCAACAUUGGAAAAAUUGCCCAUUUGUAUUAGUAAAAAAAAACAACAGAAAGAAGCACGAGAGUUUCGCAAGAAUUGUCUGCUUUUUUUGAAUAAGUCUGCUUUUAUGUAAUAUUGUUUCAUUGAACACUAUAUCCCAGAAAGCUUUGCGCCAAGGUAAAGCAGGAAGAUAUUUUUUCGUCUGCAACUUCGGGAAUUUAGCCAGAAGGAGUGUGUUGCUCAGGCCCUGGGGAGAGUGGUGUGUGUCAGUGUGUGUUACAGAAACACCAGCAGUAAG